GUCCCUCUAGCGCAAUGGAUAGCACUUUGGACUUCUGAUUCAAAGGUUGUGGGUCCCAAUCCCACAUGGGAUG